GUUUCUGUGGCAGGAGGGAACCUGAGACUCACUCUUCACCUUGAAGGGAUUGACAAUCUCUCAUUGAUCAACUCUUCAGUUGGAAACUUUGAUGUGCAGCACCUGAAGGGCGCAAUUUCACACCUGGUGUCUGCCUUCCUUUUACCACAUCAGAACCAUUUGCUGGCAGAAGGCUUCCCGUUGCCUCUGGUGCAGCAGCUUGGCAUCAACCAUCUCAACGCUGCCCCUGGCCAG